rnacentral:tRNA from 1 species
GCGGGUUGUUCAGGGUGAACGGAACGCGGCAUAUGGCGGAAAUCCUUGCUUUCCCAGCGCCGUCCAAGCCUUCCCAAGCUUACGACGAGGGUUCGAUUCCCUUCACCCGCUCCA